AUGAGUAGGUGUCUGGCAUCUGACAAGAGGCGAUGAUAUCUGCCAUAACGGUGAAGCAGAAGUAAUAUCACCCAUGAAUAAUAAGAUUAUCCUUGCUGU
rfam:Salmonella enterica subsp. enterica serovar Newport str. S09097 S_Newport_S09097_mira454_rep_c1960, whole genome shotgun sequence.